rnacentral:misc_RNA from 1 species
AAAUUUGGAGAGACCCCAACCUCAGCUGACGGCUGGCUGUGCGAGGAUGUGGUAUCUCAUGUUAUGACAACAACAGAAAUGGUGGAGGUUAAUAAGACGAUGGUUGUUGAAUACCCUGGAAGAUGUCCGGCUCACCAUCUUUCCUGUUGUGAAGGAUAUGAAAAAGUCGGCAACCAGUGCAUAGAUCAAGGAGCAUCUAGUGCUUUGCAAGAUCUCUUUAAUGCUGGACUGAUUGGAUGACUUAACUCGAUUAUGUAAUCAGUAAAUUAAUAAAAUCAAACAUUCGUG